UAAAAACUUAAAUGGACCAUAUAUGUAGACUCUAAGGCUAUGCGGUAUGGGGUUCGUCCCCACUGCGUCCCGGAACGGCGCCGCCCUCCUCUCCGUUUCGAGCCCUCCGUCGCCGCUCCUACAUCGUCACCAUCGUCGGGUUCUCGACGCCAAGGACGGUCCUCCCCCUCUCUCACACACCAAUAAACCCCCAAAUCCAAAAUCAAACCUUCUGAGCCCACAAUCGGUGAAGCUGAGCAUGUAAUUGAAACAUUUCUCCGGUGAAGAAAGGUGCGAUGGAAGGCGGUGGUGGUGUAGGUACGGCCGGCGGCGGUGGUGGACCGAACGGCGGCGAUGUGAUAGGGUUUGUCUCUAACUUGACGGAGGUGGUGGUGUUCAUGGCUGCGAGAGUGAAAGGAGUAAAGAGGCGGAGGUUUUGAUGAGGUGUUGAUACAUAUUAAUGAAUUUAUUUUUCUGGGAUGGCAAGAGCAGUGCCGAGGAUCUGCAGACUGUUGCUGCUGAUCUCAGAUCAUCCAUCUGGAAACAAAUGAUCUCGUACUACAAAAUCCUUCCAAUCUACAAGUCAGAUCAAAAGUUAGCUAAACAAGGAACAUGUUAAAACUGUUGUUCACACCAUAACAAAGGGUUAAUCUUGCAGCGAAGUGAUUGCUGAGUUGAAGGAAGCUGGUGCAACUGGAAUUUCAAAGGCUAUAGUUGCAAGCUUAGUUUAAUUUAUUUGUUAAAAGUUAAAAAAAAAAAGUGGAAGAUUAAAAAAAUAAAAAAACAUAAAAGUGGUGGGGUAGGACCAUCCUCCCAUUUCCACUAGUUUUGUGGGAUGGACCAUCCUUAGGAGGACUAAGAUGUGGCGCCUACGUGGCGGACCAUCCUCCAAGGGAGGAUGGGCACCAUACCCUCUAGCCUAAACGUCUAUUUAUUUUUUUUUUUUUGAACGGAGACUCUAAACGUCUAUUGUUUCUCCAUAUGUUGUCAAUUAAUACUAUACUAGUAUUUUGCCCGCCGUGCGUUGCGGCGGCGCGUGACGGGUGGAAACAUAUAGUAGGACAAAACAUGAUUCGCAAAACGUAGUGCGUAAACGACAAUUACAAAAAAAGUGUAAAACAUAAAGGUAGACACAAAAUGUAAAACACAAUGUCUAAGACAUUUCGUAAAACACAAUGCAUUGGCAUUUGCAAAAGCAGGAGUUGUAGUCUAAGGGUUACAAUUGCAAUCUUUUUAAAGUUGGGCGUGUGUAAAAAUAGAGUAAUAAUGCAAGGGGUAAAAAACGAAGUCUAAAAAAGACAAAGUGUAAAAGAAUAGGGGUGGUGGCGGAAAUGUGUAAAAGAUAAGGGGGUGUUGGUGGAAAUGUAAAAGAAAAGGGUUGGUGGCGUAACUAUGUAAGAGCUAAGGGGGUGAUGGUGGAAAACCAAAGUAGAUGGUUGGUGCUGGCAAAGUUUGAAAGAUGAGGUUGCGGUUUUGGAAAUUCAAAGUAGAAGGUUUAGGAACUAAAUUUGUCAUUUUAUGAAACUUUGAAGGUUACAAAGUCAAGGAACUAAAAUUGCAAAAUCAUGAAACUAUAGGGGCGGGGAGGCAAAGCCGGUGGGAAACCUCACCAACUUUUUUGAUUAUGAUAAUGUGUACUAUUGUUUGCUGAUAUUAGUUGAUUGGUUUUCA